GACGAACGCUGGCGGCGUGCUUAACACAUGCAAGUCGAACGGAAAGGCCCUGCUUUUGUGGGGUGCUCGAGUGGCGAACGGGUGUGUAACACGUGAGUAACCUGCCCUUGACUUUGGGAUAACUUCAGGAAACUGGGGCUAAUACCGGAUAGGAUCUCCUGCUGCAUGGUGGGGGUUGGAAAGUUUCGGCGGUUGGGGAUGGACUCGCGGCUUAUCAGCUUGUUGGUGGGGUAGGGGCUUACCAAGGCUUUGACGGGUAGCCGGCCUGAGAGGGUGACCGGCCACAUUGGGACUGAGAUACGGCCCAGACUCCUACGGGAGGCAGCAGUGGGGAAUAUUGCACAAUGGGCGGAAGCCUGAUGCAGCAACGCCGCGUGCGGGAUGACGGCCUUCGGGUUGUAAACCGCUUUCGCCUGUGACGAAGCGUGAGUGACGGUAAUGGGUAAAGAAGCACCGGCUAACUACGUG
rnacentral:rRNA from 1 species